GUCACUACAAGCUAAAUCUAUCAGAUACGUGUGUGUUACACACUAUGUGAAUCACCCACUGGAGACACAUGGGUGAUCUUUUAGUGAACCGAAGGUCAAAUGGGGAGAAUCCCUCAGUAAUUUACCAUCUGAGCCACUCAAUAUAUCCAACAUUUUUAAAAGAAAAGAAAAAUGAACAGCCAAUGCUGAAACCUGAAUCUCUACACACAUCAUUUGUGGGGCCUCUUACUGGCACCGUGCUGGAUACUAUUUUCAUCUGUAACCCGUGAAGAAUUCUUCCACAGUAAGAAAGACAAGCUUGCAAUCUUCCAAAAAAGCCAGGGGAAUGUGUAGGUCACUAUCUCCGUUAUUACGGUCCUGAACAUCACACAUGCAAGGACCGGCUGUGUGGGCAACGGAAACUGAUUCCUCUCACUUAACUCGUGCAGUGUCUCAUGUUACAAUGCAGCAGGUAUGUGGCUAAUAGUGAUUUUACCCAGAGAUAUAUAUGCAAAAGUGCAUGUUAAUGUGUAUUUGUUUGAAUAGAUGAAGGCCUUGAGGACUGUUCUGGUGCAUCAGAUGUACCAGUCGGAAUUAUCUUGGGUGUUGUGUUUGGUCUUACCGUUGCCGUUAUUCUCAUUGUGGCCUAGCUCAAAGAAACAUGGGAAAAAAGAUCCAAGUCUGCAGAGCAACCGCUGAAAGAGCAGGCCAUCAAGAUGGGAGACAGCCACUCUUGAAGUCUCUACAAUCCAACCCUAAAUUUUUAGCCACAAAUGUACAUUGAAAAUUUUGG
ensembl:lncRNA